rfam:Myotis brandtii contig262480, whole genome shotgun sequence.
GGCGGUUCUCAGGUGAUGCAUCCCAGAACCAGAGAGAAGGGAGCCUGAUUCCGGGGUGCAUCACCUGAGAACCGCC